UUUAAGCUUCCUACGGGAGGCUGCAGUGGGGAAUCUUGCGCAAUGGGCGAAAGCCUGACGCAGCCAUGCCGCGUGAAUGAUGAAGGUCUUAGGAUUGUAAAAUUCUUUCACCGGGGACGAUAAUGACGGUACCCGGAGAAGAAGCCCCGGCUAACUUCGUGCCAGCAGCCGCGGUAAUACGAAGGGGGCUAGCGUUGCUCGGAAUUACUGGGCGUAAAGGGAGCGUAGGCGGACAUUUAAGUCAGGGGUGAAAUCCCGGGGCUCAACCUCGGAAUUGCCUUUGAUACUGGGUGUCUUGAGUAUGAGAGAGGUGUGUGGAACUCCGAGUGUAGAGGUGAAAUUCGUAGAUAUUCGGAAGAACACCAGUGGCGAAGGCGACACACUGGCUCAUUACUGACGCUGAGGCUCGAGGUGCAUGGGGAGCAAACAGGAUUAGAUACCCUUGUAGUCGAAUUCUU
rnacentral:rRNA from 1 species